UACGGGGGGAGCAAGCGUUGUUCGGAUUUACUGGGCGUAAAGGGCGCGUAGGCGGCCACCGCAAGUCAGUUGUGAAAUCUCUGGGCUUAACCCAGAAAGGUCAACUGAUACUGCGGGGCUAGAGUGCAGAAGGGGCAACUGGAAUUCUCGGUGUAGCGGUGAAAUGCGUAGAUAUCGGGAGGAACACCAAUGGCGAAGGCAGCUUGCUGGGACGGUACUGACGCUGAGACGCGAAAGCGUGGGGAGCAACAGG
rnacentral:rRNA from 1 species